GAGGGUUUGACGAAUGUGCUGCACUUUGACCUGUGAUGCACACACUUUGUGCUCAGAAUUUUGAAAUCAAAGCCAAGUCAAAGUGGUCUUACCAGUCAGAAACUACCAAUUGAAAAUCCAUGCCAGGAUUGCAGUUAAGUGAGGGAGAAUGGACUUAACAAGCCUUGCUACUGGAUUUGGAUGUGGUGUAUUUUUCUGCUGGCUUCUUAGGCAAGGGCGAGUGUCUCAGGUACUCGCAGGGGCAUCAAAGACUUCUGCAGCCUGUGGAUCUCGGACUCUCCCUCGAGUUGCUGGCCAUGGACAGCAAAAGCUUGUCCUUGUAGUGAGAAUGGAUCUCAAGAUGGGGAAAGGCAAGAUAGCAGCACAGUGCUCUCAUGCUACUCUUGCUGCUUACAAGAGAGCACUUGAUGAAUCACCUGGUGACCUCAGUUCUUGGAAAAGAUCUGGACAGGCAAAAGUUGUUGUGAAGGUUGAUGAUGAACAAUCAUUGUAUGACAUUGAGGAAAAGGCAAGAGAAGCAGGGCUGCUAACAGCCAUUAUCUCUGAUGCUGGACUGACUCAAACUGUCCCAGGAACAGUUAUGGUGAUGAGUGUUGGACCCGCACCAGCCUCUCUCCUGGAUGCUGUGACAGGACACUUGAAGCUAUUAUGAAGAAAGUAGGUAAUGCAGAAUUGAAAUGAGCACGCAAUGAGAUUGAAGGAAGAAAUAAUUCCAUUUGACCAAUCUCUGAGUUGCAAGUUGUACCUGUCGUGUGGUCUUCAAUGUUAAUGCCACCUCCACUUCAACCUCUGCUUGAUCAAUACACUUGAAAUGCUACACCA